CCCAGACUCCUACGGGCGGCAGCAGUGAGGCCUCUUGGUCAAUGGGCUGGCGCCUGAACCCGCCCUGCCGCGUGCCGGCGAGUGCCCUCCGGGCGUUAAACUUCUUUUGUGCGGGCGCCAUAAGGGCCCCGCGUGGCCCGAUGCGCGUCCCGCACGCCUACGCAUCGGCUCACUCCGUGCCAGCCGCCGCGGUAAUACGGGGGCUGCGAGCGUUCUCCGGAUUUAUUGGGUUUAAAGGGUGCGUAGGCGGCGCGGCAGGGCAGCGGUGAAAGACCGGGGCUCAACCCCGGGGCGGCCGGGGAAACCGGAGCGCUAGAAGGCCGAUGCCGUCGGAGGAAUGUGUGGGGGAGCGGUGAAAGGCAGAGAUAUCACACAGAACACCGAUUGCGAAGGCAUCUGACGAAGAGGAGAUUGACGCGGAUGCACGAAAGCGGGGGUAUCGAACAGGAGGAGAGACCCGAGUA
rnacentral:rRNA from 1 species